UAAACUUCAGUGUCACUACAUUUACAAUUCAUAUGAUAAACAAUAAUGGCCCAUAGCUCGUACAUGUACAAUAUGAAUGUUAGAAGGUCCACCACACUUUCCCGCUCCAUCCUUGCUACAGCUAAGAGAGAGAAUAGGCAUACAAUGUGUUAUCCUUGCAAUAUGAGAAGCAAAGUACAGAGCCACAACGGUAUUUCAAGUAAGCAUAAGAGAGAGAAUAUAUUGCAUUACUUCUAUAAGGAAUAUAAUGGUUCCAAUGAAUUGGUAUCCAGGUUUGACUACUUUUAUAAGAAACUUAUUUCCUGUAGUGUGUUGACACUUGAAGAAACAUGUUUCAUGUAAUCUAGACACUUGAAGAAGGCAACUGUAUAUGAAGCUCUGCAAUUCCCUCAUUGGUCCUGACAUAUUGGAUCCUUCGCCAUGCAUCCUGGGUUCAGGGGCUCAUUCUUUCCAAGAAAUUACAAAAAUCUUCUUGCUUCAGUUGCUUGUUACCUGUCAUACAACGUGUCAUCUCAUUCCAAAAUAUACUGAAGGCCUAAUAGACAUGGUUUGCAUGAGUUUAUCCAUUGCUUGCAUCUGUAUGUACAUACUGACAUGGAGUAACUCCUCUCUCAGUGAAUUUCAGAAAAGGGUCAUUUGGCGAUGACUCAUGUGAGCUGUGUUCAAGCCAGUUGACCAAUGCUGCAGCUAAAUCAUGUUUGGAGAAAGUAACCAUGAUGAUAUAUAGGUUAGAAACAAAAUAGAAGCCAAUUUUUAAGAUAAAACAUGGUAAACAUGAUAAACAUGGUAUUAGCACAACUGGAGCAAAGAUCACAACAUGGAAAAAUGAUCAUCAUUAUAGAUAAAAAAUAGGAUGGGUGA
rnacentral:lncRNA from 1 species